CCUCAUCUAUGGGCUUGCAUAUAUUCAUUUCCACAGAUCCCAUUUCUGCUGGUCUUAACAGGUUGAUGGUUUGAUUUGAAGAGGCAAAGAAAUUCCUUCAAAGUGAUAACACUAAGGAGAAGUCAGAGGUAUUCUGGGCAUGUCAGAUUUGGCCCAGCCCCGGGCAGAGCCGUUACCUUACAGGACCUUUUCUGGUUAGGGCAGGUUCUAAUCAGCUGCUGUGCGUGAUCUUCCUAUUCACUCAUGAGUGUGGGGCUUUGUUCACUUGGCUUUGGGGCUUAACAGAAGGACAGAAUCUAGAGACUGGUACUGCCAAGAGGGCUUGGCUUCCUUGGCAGUACUGGCUGCAUCGUCGGUGAAUUAUUUGAUCUUUUAGCUGGUGUUGGCAUGCUAAUUUGGGAUCUUAGACACCAGAUAUCAAUAUUUCAGAAAUUUCUGUAAGAAGCUUUUCCCCUGUACCAAAUAUUUGACAGGAAACUUUCUCCUGAAAUAUUAAAAUAAAAAUUUCAAAGGGAAGGGGCAAAAAUUUUGUUGUUUAAUGAGAAAGAAGAAACUAAUCUGAAAGUUUGGAACUUUAGAGAAAAGGGCUAGUCUUUUUGAGUAAACAUGCAUGAGUCCUAUUUUGUUACUAAUUGCAUGUUGGUAAUUCUUGACUUGUACCCUUUCUGACUCGAAAUCUAAGUCUAAACUUAGACGCUUUGGAUUACUCAGAUAAUGGAUAUGACUGUAUCUCUGUAGGAUGGCUGUGGUAUUUUGAGUAUCGUGCUGGAUUAUUUUGAUCAUUCAUGCUAAUACAGUCAUUCAGUGUAUUAUGAUGAGCUCUUUCUCAUCCACAUUCUUGUUUCCUUAUGUUCUGCAGAACAUUUAUGGCCCAGGAAAUGCUCAUAGUCAUUUUUAUUGGGGGGAAGGAGCAUGGAGGGGACAGUCAAGAGUCAACCUAAACUUGAGAAAUUCUGAGUGAAACGAAAGUUAAACAGAUUUCUUUGCAGAAAGACUUCUCCAAAGUCUUUAAUACGCUCCCUGUAUAUUUUGAAUUUCUACCCUCCCCCGGUUUUUUGUAGAAUAUUUGUUAAUGUUAUUCAGAAUACUUUUCCUGUACGAAAGUUUGGGAAACACUACUUGAUUCUAAAGAUACAAUGAGAUGCAAUUGCUUUAAUCAUAACCAGAGGGAUUCCAGCCUCUCACCAGAUGGCUGAGAAAGUAAAGUCCUAGAACAACUGUUAUCUCCUUUUUCGGAAGGCCUUAUGAGAAAGACAUCCAUUUAUCUCAGAGAGCAUUAUGCAAUCUCCUAAAGAGAGAGAAAAAUGAACCAGAGGACCCAUAGAUGACCCUGUAAUUCUCUGGUUUGAAGAUACAACCUUUUAGAACAUUUCAUCAAUCAAUAUACCUUUGUCUGAAAAGGUUAGAGAACCAAAUCUUAAAAAGUGUCUUUGUUAUCUACUACUGAGUAACAGUCUCCCCAACAUGUAGUGGGUUAAGACAACAAAUAUAUAUUAUGUCAUAGUUUCCAUGAGUCAGACACUCAGGAGUGGUUUAGUUGGACUGUUCUGGCUGUCUCAUAAAGUUGCAGUCAGGAUGCAGGCAGAGACUGCACUCAUCUUAAGGCCUGACUGGGACUGGAAGUGCUGCUUCCAAUAUGGCUCACCUACAUGUCUGUUGGCAAGUGACCUCAGUUCCUCACCACCUGGGCCCUUAGCUGUUUGGAUGUCCUUAUGACGUGAUCUGAGAGAGCAAGUGAAGAGGAAGCCAUAGAGCCUUUUAAGACCUAGUCUCUGAAAUUGGAUACUGUCACUUCUGCUUUAUUCUAUUUGUUAGAAGCGAGUCACUAAGUCCAGCUCACACUCAAGGGAGGAUCUAAGCUUUACUUUUUAUGAGGAAGAGAAUCAAAGAUUUGUGGACAUAUUCUAAAGCUACCACAGAAGGUUUAAAUAAUAAGGACAUGAGAAGAAGGGGCAAGAUAGGGCGGUGCCUGGAUUAUUUAGUUCAAUAUCCCAUGACAUCAUCAAAGAUCCAAGUUCUUUCCAUCUUCUGUUCUGCCAUGGUGGUGCCUUGGCUUUGUGGUCAGGUUGGUUCCCCACAUAGAUGCCAAAAGACUGCACAGGUACUAAUUAUCAUGUCUAGUUGCGACAACAUCCAGCAGGACAAAUGGAUUGUGUCUUCUUUGUGACGUGAUAUUUGAGACCUGACCAUUUAAAGAGAAGUCUUGGGCUGUAUAUUAACGCUUUGAGUCUAUCUGACUGAGGACUUCAGUUUCCCAUCAUUCAGGGGGCAAAUGAAGCACUGGAAGUGGAAAACAUUGCUCGCCUCACAGGAAUUGCCUUGACUAAUUGAGUAACGUAGGAGUUCCAGGACACAGAGGAAUAGAACCAUCCCCAUAAUCGGAGCCAGAGAUGGGGAAAAAGGUAGAACUGGGAAAUUGCUCCUUCUCCCUUGCGAGGUGAUGCUCCUCUGAAGCAUCCAGGACCAAGAAGGGGCUGGGAAUGAUAGGAGACCAUUCAGGGGACUCACAACAGUAGCUAUAAUGGACUAGUAAGAAAUGAAAAUUUAAUAUUUGGAAACCUGUGUUUAAAAUGCUGGGCAUACUAACAAUGCAUUAUGGCAGUGAACAAGAUAGACAAGGGCCCUCCCUCAUGGUGCUUUCUUUUUUGGGAGUAACUCCAAUGGCGUCAGAGGGCUCACCUCCUGGGAGAGCUUCGAGUCUCCUGCAGUCACAGAGGCCAAGUUCCUCAGCUCCAAGCAACAUCAUGCCUCAACCCAUACUUGAGUGAAAAUUCAGGGAGGUAUAUGGACAAUCAGAAGUGCAGAUGGUUUAACCAGGAUAUAAUCUGGAUAAGUUUGACCAGCUGAGGAUAAUUGAAUUUAAGGAAAUGGAAAAUAUAACAUCACUCUAUUCUACAAUAAAUCGAGUAAUGAAGACUUAGAAGCCAUUUGGACCAGAAGUAGGUUUGCUUCACCUGGCGAAAGCAAAUUUGUCACAGUGAUAUCCUGAGCUGCUAAAUACACUAAUAGAGAAGCUGAUCAUACAGUAUUUCAUUUUGUAAAUGUAUCAAAUAGCUCUCUUUAAUAUAUACCAAGUCCAUUCAUUAAACAAUCAUCACUGUAAAAAAAUCGAUGUUUGAAAUAGUGAUAACAAACCAACUCCAAAUGUGCAAAUUAACACUUCAUUUUUUGUUCUGCAUUGAUUAAGGGAAAAAACUCAGCUCUAUGUUCAUCUUCUUGCACGAUCUUCAUUUUUCACAGGAAUUUGUCUUUCUCUGUGUGUAUAUAAGAAGAUGGGGCCUAGGAAUGUAACUAUUCUUUCUUAAUCCAUAUUAGUGAGAAAAGCAGGGCAAACAAAUAUUUUACAGAUAAGAACAGACACUUGCAAGCUCAGUGAGUUGUUAAGAGCAAUUUUAAGGAAUAAAAGAUUUCUCAGUUCUUUGUUUUUAAAUUAUAGGCUCAUCAUAUUAUGUAUUCUCUAAAUAUUGAGAUUAGUUAGUAGAUGUAUUAGCCUAAUGAUUUGUCCUAAAC
rnacentral:lncRNA from 1 species